UGGGGAAUAUUGGACAAUGGGCGAAAGCCUGAUCCAGCAAUGCCGCGUGAGUGAUGAAGGCCUUAGGGUUGUAAAGCUCUUUUACCCGGGAUGAUAAUGACAGUACCGGGAGAAUAAGCCCCGGCUAACUCCGUGCCAGCAGCCGCGGUAAUACGGAGGGGGCUAGCGUUGUUCGGAAUUACUGGGCGUAAAGCGCACGUAGGCGGCUUUGUAAGUUAGGGGUGAAAGCCCGGAGCUCAACUCCGGAAUUGCCCUUAAGACUGCAUCGCUAGAACGUCGGAGAGGUGAGUGGAAUUCCGAGUGUAGAGGUGAAAUUCGUAGAUAUUCGGAAGAACACCAGUGGCGAAGGCGACUCACUGGACGACUGUUGACGCUGAGGUGCGAAAGCGUGGGGAGCAAACAGG
rnacentral:rRNA from 1 species